rnacentral:rRNA from 1 species
UCCCUGGUUGAUCCUGCCAGUAGUCAUAUGCUUGUCUCAAAGAUUAAGCCAUGCAUGUCUCAGUGCAUGCCGAAUUAAGGUGAAACCGCGAAUGGCUCAUUAAAUCAGUUAUGGUUCAUUAGAUUGUACCCACAUUUACUUGGAUAACUGUGGUAAUUCUAGAGCUAAUACAUGCAAAACAGAGUCCCGACCAGUGAUGGGAGGGACGCUUUUAUUAGAUCAAAACCAAUCGGUGGCGGGCGGUCAUCCGUUCGUCCACCGUUUACUUUGGUGACUCUGAAUAACUUUGUGCUGAUCGCACGGUCCUAGCACCGGCGACGCAUCUUUCAAAUGUCUGCCUUAUCAACUGUCGAUGGUAGGUUUUGCGCCUACCAUGGUUGUAACGGGUAACGGGGAAUCAGGGUUCGAUUCCGGAGAGGGAGCCUGAGAAACGGCUACCACAUCCAAGGAAGGCAGCAGGCGCGCAAAUUACCCACUCCCGGCACGGGGAGGUAGUGACGAAAAAUAACGAUACGGGACUCAUCCGAGGCCCCGUAAUCGGAAUGAGUACACUUUAAAUCCUUUAACAAGGAUCCAUUGGAGGGCAAGUCUGGUGCCAGCAGCCGCGGUAAUUCCAGCUCCAAUAGCGUAUAUUAAAGUUGUUGCGGUUAAAAAGCUCGUAGUUGAAUCUGUGUCGCACACCGUCGGUUCACCGCUCGCGGUGUUUAACUGGCGUGAUGUGGGACGUCCUACCGGUGGGCUUAGCCUCGCGAGGGGCGGCCCAACUAAUAUCCCGUCGCGGUGCUCUUUACUGAGUGUCGAGUCGGGCCGGUACGUUUACUUUGAACAAAUUAGAGUGCUUAAAGCAGGCUACCUUCGCCUGAAUACUGUGUGCAUGGAAUAAUGGAAUAGGACCUCGGUUCUAUUUUGUUGGUUUUCGGAACCCCGAGGUAAUGAUUAAUAGGGACAGAUGGGGGCAUUCGUAUUGCGACGUUAGAGGUGAAAUUCUUGGAUCGUCGCAAGACGGACAGAAGCGAAAGCAUUUGCCAAAAAUGUUUUCAUUAAUCAAGAACGAAAGUUAGAGGUUCGAAGGCGAUCAGAUACCGCCCUAGUUCUAACCAUAAACGAUGCCAGCUAGCGAUCCGCCGAAGUUCCUCCGAUGACUCGGCGGGCAGCUUCCGGGAAACCAAAGCUU